GCGUGCGUGGCGCGGCGUCCAUAAUGGAAAGAUGGAGAAUGGCUCCCGUUCCUUCCGGACCCGCUUGAGGGCGCACUGCGGCGGCGUGGGGAUGACUUGGAGACUCGUCUCGGGGAGGAAACUGCUGCUGUCUGUGGCCCUGACUGCUUAGGUGGGAGCUGCGUGCGCUCAGCGUUUCCAGGGCACUUUUUUCUACACGGUCACUCUCACCCAAGCUGGAGCACAGUGGCACAUCACAGGACCAUGCAGAUUGGAAUAUUGGCUACCUAUAGCUUUGCAAUGCAAUUUGAUGUCAGUAAUUGUGCAGCCGUGUUGUGGGAAAGAGAAAAUGCCCUGAAUUUUGAUGGCUGAAAAGUAUUCCAUUGUGCCUGUGUCCUGAAGAUUCUUCAUCCCUUCAUCUGUGGAUGGACAGGUGCAACCGUGUGGUUCUCCACGAUAUGAUUUCAUUGUGCUUUUCUGUGUGAAGAGUAUCCCGGUGUGUACAUGUGGAGCAGCUUCUUUCUCUCUUUGUCUGUGGAUAAGCAGGUAGGUUGAUGUUUACACUGGCUCUUGGGAACAGUGCUGGAAUCCACAUGGGUGGGUAGAUCUAUCUUUGGUGUCCUGAUUUCAAUGGCUUUGAGUGUAUUUCCAGUAGUAGAAUUGCUGGUUGAAGUGGUAGUUGGAGUCUUUUAAGGUUUGGAGGAACCUCCAAGUGGUUUCUGUAGUGUGUGUACUACUUUACUUUCUCACGAACUGUGGAGAAGAGUGUCUCUUUCUCUCUCUCUCUGGAAACACACACCAGCAUUUGCCUUUCUUUCAAUGUUCUUUUGUCUUUUUUUUGUUACAAAAAAUAAGAUGGUGUCUAAGUGUGGUUUUGAUUUACAUUUUGCUUGUGGUUAGCGUUGUUUGCCAAGUUAUUGUGAACUUGUUUCAAUGUGACAUGUAAGACUGGGCAAAGGACCUGAAGACCUGAGAUGGAUGCACAGGUAAAAUAUUCUGAAUCAACUUACUGAUCCUCAUGAGAAGUCAAUCAAAACCACACUCAGAUGUCAUCUCAUUCUGGUGACAAUGAAUGUUACCAAAAUGAGAUAGUAAUUUCAUUGCGGUAGAGUAUGUGUGUAUAACCAGCGGGUACAAGGGACAUUUUGAUCUAUGUAAACGUAGCAUCAUAAUGAAGUCGCAAUGUCUGGCAUCUCUGUGAGCUCCAGACUUAUGAUUUCUCUGUGGAGAGAAUAUUCACAAGUGACCUUUGUAGCUGUUUUGAAAAUUUUGGUUUUCUGUUCUUGCCUUUUGUUCAUAAUGGCCUACAGCUCUGUCCAGGUUUCUGGUAAGGGCAUGGAUUUGUUUUUUAUGGCUGUGUAGUGUUGCGUGGUGUGUAUGUACCACAUUUCCUUUCUCUGAUCCACUGCUGAUGGGCACCAAGGCUGAUUCCGUGUCUUUACCAUUGUGAGUAGUACUGCCGUGAACACGUGAGUGCAUGCGUGUUUUGGAUGGAAGGAUUUUCCUUCGGGUAGAUCCUCAGGAGUGGGGUUGCAGCGUUGGGUGGUAGUUCUCUUUUAGGUUCUUUGAGAAAUGUCCACACUGCUCUCCAGGGGGUCUGAACUAGUUUGCAUUUCCCCCAACAGUAGACCUGCAUUUCUUUGCUCAUCUUCCCCACCAACCUCUGUUGUUGUGGACUGUGUGUCAUAAUUGCCAUUCUGACCAGUGUGAGAUGGUAUCUCAGUAUGUUUCUGAUUUGCAUUUCUCAGAUGAUCAGUGAGAUCGAGCAUGUUUUUAUUCUAAUUGGUUACUGGUACACCUCCUUUUAGUGUGUGUUCAUGUCCCUUGCCUAUUUAUGAUUUUUUUUUUUCCUGAUUUUAUUUGUUUAAGGUCUUUACGAUAAAUCCUGGAUAUUAGACGUUUUUCAGAUGCGUAGUUGGGGAGUAUGUUCCCUAAUUCUAUAGGCUGUGUGCUGACUCUGUGGUUGUUUCUUGUACAGCAGCUCUUUUGAGUAUUAGGUCCCACUGAUCAGGAAUUGCUUUUGUUGCCGUUGCUUUUGGGGGCUUGACAUAUAAAUGCUUUGCCAAAGCCUCCGUCAAGAAGGGUAUUUGCUAGAUUCUCGUGCAGGAUUUUUUCAUUUCAGGUCUUGCAUUUUUAUGUGUUUAUGUAU